rnacentral:rRNA from 1 species
AAAUGAAUAGACGGGGACCCGCACAAGCGGUGGAGCAUGUGGUUUAAUUCGACGCAACGCGAAGAACCUUACCAAGUCUUGACAUCCUUUUGACCGGUCGGUAAUGCGACCUUCUCUUCGGAGCAAAAGUGACAGGUGGUGCAUGGUUGUCGUCAGCUCGUGUCGUGAGAUGUUGGGUUAAGUCCCGCAACGAGCGCAACCCUUAUCUUUAGUAGCCAGCAUUUUAAGAUGGGCACUCUAGAGAGACUGCCAGGGAUAACCUGGAGGAAGGUGGGGAUGACGUCAAAUCAUCAUGCCCCUUAUGACUUGGGCUACACACGUGCUACAAUGGCGUAAACAAAGAGAAGCAAGACUGUGAAGUGGAGCAAAUCUCAAAAAUAACGUCUCAGUUCGGAUUGUAGUCUGCAACUCGACUACAUGAAGCUGGAAUCGCUAGUAAUCGCGAAUCAGAAUGUCGCGGUGAAUACGUUCCCGGGUCUUGUACACACCGCCCGU